rnacentral:rRNA from 1 species
AUGGACCCGGAGGCGGUGCGGAGGACCCUCGAGCCCACCGCUUCCGCCGCGGACAUCUCGGGCUCCACCCCUUACGACUCCUUCGUCAUCAGCGGCGUCCGCCUCGAGGCCGCCGAGCACGGCAGCGUCCUCUGCUCCUUCGUCGUCACCCCCCGUAUCGCCAGCCCCCAAGGGUACCUUCUCAGCGGCGUCACGGCAACGCUCGCCGACCAGUUGGGCUCGGCCGUGUUCUUCUCCAGCGGGGUGGGCACGAGCGGGGUCUCCCUCGAGAUCAGCGUGUCCUACGUCGACACGGCCGCCGUCGGGGAAGAAAUAGAGGUUGAGGCGAAGCUAUUGCGUGCUGGAAAAUCAGUCGGUGUUAUCUCUGUUGAUUUCAGGAAGAAAAGGAGUGGCAAAUUGAUGGCUCAGGCGCGUCAUACAAAGUACCUUGCUGUAUCUAGCAGAUUGUGA